GUUCUAACGUGUGCUAGUCCACUGACCUCCUGUGGUUCUGGUCCAGGUAGGUACAGACAGGUACGAGUCCAGGUAGGUACAGACAGGUACCAGUCCAGGUAGGUACAGACAGGUACCAGUCCAGGUAGGUACAGACAGGUACGAGUCCAGGUAGAUACAGACAGGUACGAGUCCAGGUAGGUACAGACAGGUACCAGUCCAGGUAGAUACAGACAGGUACGAGUCCAGGUAGGUACAGACAGGUACGAGUCCAGGUAGGUACAGACAGGUACCAGUCCAGGUAGGUACAGACAGGUACGAGUCCAGGUAGGUACAGACAGGUACGAGUCCAGGUAGGUACAGACAGGUACGAGUCCAGGUAGGUACAGACAGGUACCAGUCCAGGUAGGUACAGAGGCAGACAGGUCUAAAUGCAGGUGGAGGCAGACAGGUGAGGAAGAUGCUCAUUGAGAGGCAGGAGGGGAACAGCUGCUGAGUCUCUGACCUUUUCCAACAUUCACUUUAAAGAUCAGACACAUCAAAAUAGAUUUUUCUUCUGCCGCUGCUCUGAACCUCAGCGUGAAACUCUGACACAGGUGGAAAGCAGAUUCAGUCUGAAUAAAAGUACAAGUUUUAGGUAUUUUAUAUGUUCUGCUACUUUCUGCUACAGUUUUUGCUUCAUAUUCAUUUGGCAGCGUCUCUCUGUGUUCAUUUUGUGUUUCUACGUGCGU